UGAUCUGACGAGCUUGCUCUGAUUUGAUUUUAUCUGACAAAGAGUGGCGAACGGGUGAGUAACACGUGGGUAACCUACCUCUUAGCAGGGGAUAACAUUUGGAAACAAGUGCUAAUACCGUAUAAUACCAACAACCGCAUGGUUGUUGGUUGAAAGAUGGUUCUGCUAUCACUAAGAGAUGGACCCGCGGUGCAUUAGCUAGUUGGUAAGGUAACGGCUUACCAAGGCAAUGAUGCAUAGCCGAGUUGAGAGACUGAUCGGCCACAAUGGGACUGAGACACGGCCCAUACUCCUACGGGAGGCAGCAGUAGGGAAUCUUCCACAAUGGGCGCAAGCCUGAUGGAGCAACGCCGCGUGUGUGAUGAAGGGUUUCGGCUCGUAAAACACUGUUAUAAGAGAAGAACGGCACUGAGAGUAACUGUUCAGUGUGUGACGGUAUCUUACCAGAAAGGAACGGCUAAAUACGUGCCAGCAGCCGCGGUAAUACGUAUGUUCCAAGCGUUAUCCGGAUUUAUUGGGCGUAAAGCGAGCGCAGACGGUUAUUUAAGUCUGAAGUGAAAGCCCUCAGCUCAACUGAGGAAUGGCUUUGGAAACUGGAUGACUUGAGUGCAGUAGAGGAAAGUGGAACUCCAUGUGUAGCGGUGAAAUGCGUAGAUAUAUGGAAGAACACCAGUGGCGAAGGCGGCUUUCUGGACUGUAACUGACGUUGAGGCUCGAAAGUGU
rnacentral:rRNA from 1 species